CCUGUAGUAAUAAUUAAAUUAAUAAGAGCUAAAUAAUAGGAAAGAGCACCGUCUCCUAGAUUAGCAAGGAAUGAAUAUGUUAUGCCAUCAUUUCCAGGAGCAGUAUCUUUGACAUUUGUUAAAAUACCUUUAAGUUCAGGGAGAGUAAAAAGGAACACUUUAUCAGCUGCUUCAUUUAAUAAUGUGCAUAAAGCAUCUGCACAUUCACACGGAUCAUUUAUUGAAACAUUUGGAAGAGAGGAUAUACUGUUUUCAACAAUUGAUUUAAAAUUACCCCAUUCUCCAUCAUUCAACCUAUAUUUAAUUCUUGGACCUUGUUGAGGGAUUUUUAAAUAUUUCUGAGGAAACUUAAUUAAAAUUGGGAAGUGAUCACUACCAAAGGUGGAAUCCAUAGUAUUCCAGGACAAAGUGGAAGCUAAAUUUGGAGUGCAAAUGGAUAAAUCAAUAGCGCUUAAGAUUCCAUCAGGACCAGUGCGAUGUGUUGGAUUACCAGUAUUCAGGAUGCAAAGAUUAUGAGUAUCUAAAAGUUCCAAAACAGCUUCUCCAUUGGAGUUAGAGAUGGAACUGCCCCAUGAUCUAUGAUGUGAAUUGAAGUCCCCUAGCAAUAUAAAUGGCCGAGGUAAAGAAGAAAGCAUAUUAUUAAUUUCAAUGAAAACGAGAGAAGAAGGAUGAGGAAUGUAGAUGGAAACAAAACAUAUAUUGUUAAUAAUGACGGCUAUAAUUGAAUAAUUAUCACUGUGUGGAGGAAGACUUAAAGGAGUGUAUGUCUGGGAUUUUUUCUAUAAGUAUGGCUACACCACCAUACCCAUCUGCUCUGUCUUCUCUAAGACAUAUAUAAUUGGGUAUACGAAACAUAGAAUUUGGUUUAAGCCAUGUCUCAGUGAGAGCUAUCACAAAGGGUUCAUAUUUAUUAACAAUGUAAGCUAAGUCACUUUUUUUGCUGAUUACACUGCGGCAAUUCCAUUGGACCAAUUGAUCCAUUAUUAUGUGUGUUAAUGAGAGAGUUUAAUAAUUCAGGGGCAACGUUGGACGGUUCAAUUAUAUAUUGAGAUAAAUAAUUUAUAAGUGCUAGAACAAUCUCAGAUAAGGAUUGUUCUUGUUGCUGGUGUGGAUGCUGCAAAGCACAACCAUUGCCAGAUUGGGAUGGCAUAUUGUAAUCCUUAAUUAGUUCCUUAUGAGCAUGUUGAUUAUAACCACUUAUAGCGGUAGGUGGUGGGCGUGGCUUUAAAAAGAUUGUUUUUUUGUGUGAUGUAGAUUUAUUGGUUGGCUGUUUAAAUUUUAAAGGUUCAUCACAAAGAGGUUUAUUAAUCAAUACAUCAGCAAAAGAUCUGUUAACUGAUGGAAAAUUUUUUGCAGCUUCGGCAUAAGAAAUACAAUUCUCAGCCAUGAACAGCUUAAUAUCUUUUUGUCUGUUAAAUUCUGGGCAACAUUUAUUAAUAGCAAAAUGAUUACCAGAACACAAGCAACAUGAGCCGCAAUCCUCUUCCACAUUGCAAGAAUCUCCUGUGUGUCCUUGACCACAUUUAAAACAUCGAGGUUUUGAUCUACAUUGUACUUUCGUGUGGCCAAAGCAACAGCAUGCAAAGCAUUGGACAGUUGGGUAAACAUAUAACUCAACAGGAAGAGCAUUGUAGCACAUAAAUAUACGUUUAGGUAACACUUGUCCAUCAAACGUCAUUACAAUUGUUUGGGAUGGUUUCCAUGUUGGAGAACCUUCCACUAAAACUUUAUAAUUUAACCGUCUCAUUUUUAUAAUUUUACCACAUCCUAUAGGCACUGUAACAUUAUCUAAAACUUCUUCUGGUGACCAUUCUAUAGGGACUCCCCGCACCAGUCCCAUUCGUGUAAUAUUAAAUGUGGGAAUAAAGGCUUUAAGAUUUUGUGAAGAUAGA